rnacentral:rRNA from 1 species
UACGAGGGGGGCAAGCGUUUGUUCGGAGUUACUGGGCGUAAAGGGUGCGUAGGCGGUUGUUUAAGUUUGGUGUGAAAUCUCCCGGCUCAACUGGGAGGGUGCGCCGAAUACUGAAUGACUAGAGUGCGGGAGAGGAUAGUGGAAUUCCUGGUGUAGCGGUGAAAUGCGUAGAUAUCGUGAGGAACACCAGAGGCGAAGGCGGUUACCUGGACAGUUACUGACGCUCAGGCACGAAAGCAUGGGGAGCAAAAGGG